GCCUUUGAGCUGUACUGUCAGUUUGGUGCUGAGUACCCCGUCAAACCUCCACUUGUGCGCUUUGUCACACCUGUGUACCACUGCAACGUAAACAGUGUGGGCCGUAUCUGCCACAACAUAUUUGACCGUAACUACUCGGCUCACAUAACCAUGAGAGAGAUCUUGGAUGCUGUGUAUGGACUGCUCAUCGUCCCUGAACCUGAAGAUCCACUGGACAGUAUUUUGGCAGAGGAAUUCCUAACCAGCAGAGAGAAAUAUGAACAAGAGGCCAAGAAAAACACGGAGGAAACUGCAGGGAAUUCAAUAAGAUGACAUG